CGAACGAUGAACCACUUCGGUGGGGAUUAGUGGCGAACGGGUGAGUAACACGUGGGCAAUCUGCCCUUCACUCUGGGACAAGCCCUGGAAACGGGGUCUAAUACCGGAUAACACUGCGGAUCGCAUGGUCUGCGGUUAAAAGCUCCGGCGGUGAAGGAUGAGCCCGCGGCCUAUCAGCUUGUUGGUGAGGUAAUGGCUCACCAAGGCGACGACGGGUAGCCGGCCUGAGAGGGCGACCGGCCACACUGGGACUGAGACACGGCCCAGACUCCUACGGGAGGCAGCAGUGGGGAAUAUUGCACAAUGGGCGAAAGCCUGAUGCAGCGACGCCGCGUGAGGGAUGACGGCCUUCGGGUUGUAAACCUCUUUCAGCAGGGAAGAAGCGAAAGUGACGGUACCUGCAGAAGAAGCGCCGGCUAACUACGUGCCAGCAGCCGCGGUAAUACGUAGGGCGCAAGCGUUGUCCGGAAUUAUUGGGCGUAAAGAGCUCGUAGGCGGCUUGUCACGUCGAUUGUGAAAGCCCGAGGCUUAACCUCGGGUCUGCAGUCGAUACGGGCUAGCUAGAGUGUGGUAGGGGAGAUCGGAAUUCCUGGUGUAGCGGUGAAAUGCGCAGAUAUCAGGAGGAACACCGGUGGCGAAGGCGGAUCUCUGGGCCAUUACUGACGCUGAGGAGCGAAAGCGUGGGGAGCGAACAGGAUUAGAUACCCUGGUAGUCCACGCCGUAAACGGUGGGCACUAGGUGUUGGCGACA
rnacentral:rRNA from 1 species